CUGGGAGGAGGCUAAGGGGGCUGGAAGGGGGUGAGCCUCUCUGAGGGCUGAGGGCCACCAAGGAGGCACCCGCUCCUGCUCAGGGCUCAUCACGCAGCUUCCUGAGACCUGUGGCAAAAUAAUUCUCUCGUGUUCUUCACUGUGGAUUCCGUGGGUGAAGGAUGGGGACGGGGAGGAAGGAAGGAGCAGAAAGCGGCCUGAGGAGUGGUGGCGAUGAGAAUUCCUAGAUCAAGCACAAGAACUGUGGAGCAAAGUAACUAAGCACUGGGUAUAAGCAGUCAGAUGUGAAACCCACAAAACCCUCUUGCAAAGAGAGCGGGUGGAAUCAGCAAGUCCAUAUCCAGAUCCCCCAUCUCAAUAAUUUCUGCACUCUGGGCAGGUUACUUGAUUUCAGAAAAGCAAAAAAAAGAAUAAAACAAAGAAAGAAAAAAGAAAAAUCAGUACCUCCAAGCUUGCAGCCAAUAAAAUGUCAAUUUCAUCGUAACCGUGUCCACAGCAUCACUAACAGUGUACUCGGCACGAGGCUGGGGAGGAGUUGGGGUAAGGGAGGCUCGUAAAAAUGGCCGAUGCAGAUAUUAAUGAUUUAAUCUGCUAACGCGGCGUGGAGGCCUCUGAGAAUCCUAUUCGUCAGCGUCCAGGAGCCCAUGAGGAGGAGGCGUGGGGAGAAGGAUCGCAGAUAGCGCCGGGAUGUGGUGCGAAUGAAGAUGAAUCGUGGAGCACAGUAUUGAUCUGCCUUGCCUGGAACGGCCACUUUCUGUUUGGAAAUAUGGAAAGCAAAUUAAUGAAUAAAUGAGCUGGCUCAGUGAGCUGUGCCCCGCUGGGAGGCCUGGUGUUUAAGCCACAUAUGCCAACAGGCUCUGAGCAAAUACAGGGAGGGAGGGGGGCUUUGCUGAGAGGGAAGAUGUGGCUCUGCGUGGUGGUCUAGAACCCGCGCCCAGAGCGGCUCUGGAGAGCAGAGGCAGGUGUCCUGGGGUCAGAUUGCUGAUGGCAUUUGGCUCUGCCUCCUGCUGGCUGUGGGGCCUUGAAAACUCGUGCAAUCUCUCUGAACCUGAGUUUCUUCAUGACAGAAAGAGGGUGGGAAAGGAUCAAUGGGAGGAUUCAACUAGGUCACCUGUGUCCUGUACUGGCUCCACCUCUUACAGGCUGUGAGAUACUGGAGAAAUCUUCUGACUUCUCUGUGCUUCGAAUUUCCCUUCUGUCGUACAAUAACACCUAUCCGUGGGACACCGUGGUGAAAAGUGGUAACUUUCAUAACUACUCAACAUUCAACAAAUAUUAAUCACUUAUUAUGUGCCAAUGACAGUUCUAGAUGCCUGGGGUAGGGCUGUGAACAAAAGGGUAACAUUCUUUCUCUCAUAGAAUUUCUUAUUUUUUUCCUGUGACUGUGCAAAUGUCCCAGCACCUCUGUUGGAAGGACUCGCCCUCUUCCACUGAGUUGUCUCUGCCCCCUGUCAACAAUCAGACGGCCGCACUUGUGUGUGGCUAACCUGGGUUUUCUAUUCUGCCCCAUCCGUCCAUGUGUCUGUCCCUCUGCCGACAGCACACUGUCUCGAUGACCGCAGCUCUAGAGGAAGUCUCCAAAGUGGGUGGAAUGAGUCCUCCCACUUUACUCUUCUUUUCCAAAUUCUACUUUCUUUGCCUUUCCAUAUAAAUCUUAGAACAAGCUUGCUUAUAUCUACGAAAAAAAUCUUGCUGGGAUUUUUGAUAGGAAUUGUGUUAACCCUGUAUUUCAACUUGGGGGGAACUGACAUCUUUACUACGCUGAGUCUUCCAAUCCAUGAACAUGGUACAUUUCUCCAUUCAGUUAGAUCUUUGAUUUCUAUCAGCAGCAUUUGUAGUCUUCAGCAUACAAUCCCUGUCAUAUUUUGCUGGAUUUAUUCCUAAAUAUUUCAUUUUUCU
ensembl:lncRNA